rnacentral:rRNA from 1 species
GAUGAACGCUGUCUACAGGCUUAACACAUGCAAGUCGAGGGGAAACGACGGGGAAGCUUGCUUCCCCGGGCGUCGACCGGCGCACGGGUGAGUAACGCGUAUCCAACCUGCCUCUGACUGAGGGAUAACCCGUCGAAAGUCGGCCUAAUACCUCAUGGCAUCGUCUGCGGGCAUCCAACGACGAUUAAAGAUUUCAUCGGUCAGGGAUGGGGAUGCGUCUGAUUAGCUUGUUGGCGGGGUAACGGCCCACCAAGGCUACGAUCAGUAGGGGUUCUGAGAGGAAGGUCCCCCACAUUGGAACUGAGACACGGUCCAAACUCCUACGGGAGGCAGCAGUGAGGAAUAUUGGUCAAUGGGCGGGAGCCUGAACCAGCCAAGUAGCGUGCAGGAUGACGGCCCUAGGGGUUGUAAACUGCUUUUAUGCGGGGAUAAAGUGAGGGACGUGUCCUUCAUUGCAGGUACCGAAUGAAUAAGGACCGGCUAAUUCCGUG